rnacentral:rRNA from 1 species
AUGGUCAGCAAUGUGCCACAUACCGUUGCUUCAGUAUCCAGCAAGCCUGCAGGUAGCCAUCCCUGCGUGGUUGUCCCAACAAAGUCACCAAGACAAUCAGGUUACAAGAGAGUUAUGUCGCAUAUUCCUGCGUUUGUUAUCAUAUUCAGCUACAAGGACUUGGAACAGAAUCAAGGGUCUGCAGUCAUAAUUGUCGGUGUGUAUCAAAUCAGUGGCGACCAGCGUAAAUCGCCGCAAAUUUGCCGAGAUCAGUUCGAGCUGCAUCAUGUUACCGUGCAACGGAUCCGGUGGUUUGUAUUCUGA